rnacentral:rRNA from 1 species
GAUGAACGCUGGCGGCGUGCCUAAUACAUGCAAGUCGAGCGAACGGACGAGAAGCUUGCUUCUCUGAUGUUAGCGGCGGACGGGUGAGUAACACGUGGAUAACCUACCUAUAAGACUGGGAUAACUUCGGGAAACCGGAGCUAAUACCGGAUAAUGUUUUGAACCGCAUGGUUCAAAAGUGAAAGACGGUCUUGCUGUCACUUAUAGAUGGAUCCGCGCUGCAUUAGCUAGUUGGUAAGGUAACGGCUUACCAAGGCAACGAUGCAUAGCCGACCUGAGAGGGUGAUCGGCCACACUGGAACUGAGACACGGUCCAGACUCCUACGGGAGGCAGCAGUAGGGAAUCUUCCGCAAUGGGCGAAAGCCUGACGGAGCAACGCCGCGUGAGUGAUGAAGGUCUUCGGAUCGUAAAACUCUGUUAUUAGGGAAGAACAUAUGUGUAAGUAACUGUGCACAUCUUGACGGUACCUAAUCAGAAAGCCACGGCUAACUACGUGCCAGCAGCCGCGGUAAUACGUAGGUGGCAAGCGUUAUCCGGAAUUAUUGGGCGUAAAGCGCGCGUAGGCGGUUUUUUAAGUCUGAUGUGAAAGCCCACGGCUCACCCGUGGAGGGUCAUUGGAAACUGGAAAACUUGAGUGCAGAAGAGGAAAGUGGAAUUCCAUGUGUAGCGGUGAAAUGCGCAGAGAUAUGGAGGAACACCAGUGGCGAAGGCGACUUUCUGGUCUGUAACUGACGCUGAUGUGCGAAAGCGUGGGGAUCAAACAGGAUUAGAUACCCUGGUAGUCCACGCCGUAAACGAUGAGUGCUAAGUGUUAGGGGGUUUCCGCCCCUUAGUGCUGCAGCUAACGCAUUAAGCACUCCGCCUGGGGAGUACGACCGCAAGGUUGAAACUCAAAGGAAUUGACGGGGACCCGCACAAGCGGUGGAGCAUGUGGUUUAAUUCGAAGCAACGCGAAGAACCUUACCAAAUCUUGACAUCCUUUGACAACUCUAGAGAUAGAGCCUUCCCCUUCGGGGGACAAAGUGACAGGUGGUGCAUGGUUGUCGUCAGCUCGUGUCGUGAGAUGUUGGGUUAGGUCCCGCAACGAGCGCAACCCUUAAGCUUAGUUGCCAUCAUUAAGUUGGGCACUCUAAGUUGACUGCCGGUGACAAACCGGAGGAAGGUGGGGAUGACGUCAAAUCAUCAUGCCCCUUAUGAUUUGGGCUACACACGUGCUGCAAUGGACAAUACAAAGGGCAGCGAAACCGCGAGGUCAAGCAAAUCCCAUAAAGUUGUUCUCAGUUCGGAUUGUAGUCUGCAACUCGACUACAUGAAGCUGGAAUCGCUAGUAAUCGUAGAUCAGCAUGCUACGGUGAAUACGUUCCCGGGUCU